AAGAAAAGAAAAGAAAACUGGAACACAUGACCUAAUUGGGCAGACGACCUCAUCUUCUCCUUUGGAUGAUUUUUCUUCUCUUUCGACCUUCGUCUUCGAUCUCUCUUCUCCGAUCUCUCAUCUUCUCUGAUCACGCAUCGUCUCCUUCUUUCGACUUUCAUUCAUGGAAUUUGGCCUCAUCUCGUUUCAUUCCCCUCUCAAAUUUCAGAAACCCUCAUUUCAUUCCCCUCCCCUCUCAAUUUUCAAAAACCCGUUGUCAUCUCUUUCAAUCUCUCUAUCGCUCUCUUCUGCUCACCAUCUCUCUCUUUCGUUGUCUAUCAUGCCACGGUCAAUAGACUGUGCACUCGCACAUUGACGGGGAACCUCUAUUAUUGAUACCCUGAGAACGCUACCGCCUAGCCACCUCCUUGCGUUGUUCAACUUGCCAAACGUUGACAACACGCCACACCACCAAGUCGAACCUAAUGUCUGUGGCAAAACCGAGCGUUUACGGUUGAAAGUUGAACCUCAAUGUCGAAUCCCUCUUGUGUUGAGAUUUGUCGUUGAUGAAGCUCGAUAUACGCCAUUAAAGCUAUUGUGGAUAUGUUUUAUCAUACUAGCAUUUGAUGAGUAUGUUACAACUACUAUGUGAGAGAAGUAUUAAAUACAAUCGACCACGUGGUUUUCCUUUAGUUUGCACAGUGAUAGCAAGCUUUGUUCCCUACAAUCGUAUUGAUUCUCUCUCUUGGAUAGAAAUAUGAAGAUAAAAUGAAGGAGAAGGGUGAGGUACCAGUUAUGUUCAGCACUGUAGUUUAUCUUCUGGCUAAUCAUUUGGGACCUCCAAAAAGAUGAACAACUGAAGAGGAAGAAGAGAGAGGGAACAUCCAAAUCAUGAUGACUCUGUUUACCACCACCCUACACUAAAUUCCACUGGAGCUCUACCACCUGGGAAACCUCCAAUGUUGAAAUCAUCAAUUGAAUUUUCAGAGUGAAGCUGAAAUGCAAAGAACAUGCACAAGGUAGUCGCAGGCAAGGGAAGAGGCAAAGACAUACGAAGAAAAUGAAGACGAGCACGGUGACACCUUAUGUAGGGCAUGCGGUGAGAACUAUGCUUCAGAUGAAUUUUGGAUUUACUGUGAUAUCUAUGAGAAAUGGUUCCAUGGGAAGUUUGUUGUAUGAAGAAAUGCUUCAGUUUAUCAGUUUUCUUGUGAUGUAUUGAGUUUUCUAAAACAGGGUAGUACUUUUUUGUUCGGGUUUGUUAUCAAAGGAUUUUUUUUUCUUUAUAAACAAAAUUGUAAUGCAUAGAAGAUAAAAUAUAUUACUCAAUGAGAUAUUAUAUGUAUACUAUGGUAAUUCUUCUAUUAAUAAUUUGAUUAUGAAAUGUUAAUGAGGCCAAA